rnacentral:rRNA from 1 species
UACGAAGGGGGCUAGCGUUGCUCGGAAUCACUGGGCGUAAAGGGUGCGUAGGCGGGUCUUUAAGUCAGGGGUGAAAUCCUGGAGCUCAACUCCAGAACUGCCUUUGAUACUGAAGAUCUUGAGUUCGGGAGAGGUGGAGUGACUGCGAGUGUAGAGGUGAAAUUCGUAGAUAUUCGCAAGAACACCAGUGGCGAAGGCGGCUCACUGGCCCGAUACUGACGCUGAGGCACGAAAGCGUGGGGAGCAAACAGG